UACAGAGGUCCCAAGCGUUGUUCGGAUUCACUGGGCGUAAAGGGUGCGUAGGUGGCCAGGUAAGUUUGAUGUGAAAGCUCGGAGCUUAACUCCGAAAUGGCAUUGAAUACUAGCUGGCUUGAGGGUCGGAGGGGAGACUGGAAUUCUCGGUGUAGCAGUGAAAUGCGUAGAUAUCGAGAGGAACACCAGUGGCGAAGGCGAGUCUCUGGACGACACCUGACACUGAGGCACGAAAGCUAGGGGAGCAAACAGG
rnacentral:rRNA from 1 species